CAUCACUCAGAUAGCUAGCCAUGGAUCUAGACUCUAGAUCUAGACUAGAGCGUGUAGAAAUCUACCGAGAGCAACAAUCCCUAAUGCUAAAGAAGUGCGAUGUAACUGUUCAAGAUUGUCCAGUGUUUUUAAGGUUAAUCCUGAAACUCUUUAUCUUGAGGAAGACAUCACAAAUCAUCACAAAUCAUGUGGAAUUCCCCGUAGAUGGCCUAUUUACUUUUGGUGACUUUCCACUUGGUGGUAGGUUCAGAGUAAGUGGAGACACAGCCAUCCCUGACACAACCAUCCCUGCCGGCCCUGCUCAAAAGAAGAAUCGGCCAAGUUUCCAAGUACCAUUGGGAUUCCAAUCAUCCUGGUCAGAACAUGGCUGGACAAUCUACAUCGAAGGGGCCCAAGUCUUACGAACCCUGCUUCUAUUCGACAAUGCGGGGAUGAGUGAUGCAACCAUUUCCAACCUUUUCAUCAAGAUUCCUGAUAUUUCAGUGUCUCUUGACUCGAUCCUCUCUGAAGCUGGAACAAAGAUAGGCUGUGAUCCAAAUGAACUCAUUCUUCUUGAUGUGAAGUUCUUCCCGAUUUCUGAUGAGAAAGAGUAUUGGAAAGUACCCAGCCGAAAAUUCCUUGUUGCUGUGAGUUGCUGUGAGUUGCUGUGAGAGCUGAUUAUGAAGAGUUAGUAAAAGUUCGUUCAAGAAACCGACUAAGCUUGGGAAGAAAGAGAAAGCGCAAAAGUCAUGUAGUGCAUGUGGCCUAAAGGAGGUAAUGUUACUGUUAGUGAAAGUCCUGUUUAUUUCCAAAGAUCUCAUUAUUAUAAUGUCAAUUUUGGCUGCUGUGGUAGCUAAUUACUGUUAAAAAUGCUUACCUUGCUGUUGGAGACUCAGGAGUGACAUCAUUCUGUAUAGCUAAGGAUUACUACACAUUGUGCAAUAAACUCAAUUAUUUUCGUUAGCCACACCUGAUGCAUGGGUGUGGCAUGCCAGGCCAAGAGUUUCUAUAGGCUUCUAUAGUCAUGUUUUCCUGGAUUUGCAAAAUACGCCCAACCACGCACGUGGUUUUAAUCAUUGGUUUUAUGACUAUAUAGCUGCAAGACAGAAGACUUACAUAGACAAACAGUUCUUCCUUGUUAAAUCGGUAGUAGGGGAUGAUCAUUUGUAUGCUAGAACUUGGAUGGUGCCCUGUCUAGAGGACGCAUGCCUAUACAAUCCCUAGCAAAUGAUUGCCUGUUUGGAAACGAGAUUGCUCUAGCUGUCUCAGGAUUGCCUUUAUGAAAAUGGUUGCCAUUCCAUCAGGAAAACAAAGCCAUGGACCUGCUCAUGUAAAGCUGGAUAGUGUUGUUCAAACAUUACCUAUAGGGUCACCUUACCAAAUCAAAGUCAGCUUGUCAACAAAGGCCACUAUAAUUAUGUGGAGUCAUUCCUCCUGAAAAGAUAUUUAGUGCCAACCACCCCUAGCAUUAAGAUCAAUGCUGAAUGGUCCAGAGACUCUGAAGAGUUAGUGGAUUCAUGAAAAAUCAUGCAGUUAGUGAUAGCUUCUGCUGGUGACCCUUCUAGUGACCUUUCUGGUAAUAAACUACUGUUUGUGUUUUGUAAGGAUGGCCUUGUUGGUACUGUCCCAGUCUUUGAAGGGUGUUAGCACCUUUGCCUGAAGAUAGGGUAGCUUCAGCAUCCCACAGUAGUGCCCACCAACAUAGUAAUUUGUCUGGGUUAGUUCCUUUGCUACUUAGUCUCCCUGUGUACAAUAUGUGAUGGCUUCUCUAGAUGUUUAGAGAAAUUUGAGAAUAUGUAUAAUGGUGAUUGUUCAGUAGCUAUGCAAAGACUGUGUGCAGUUUUACAUUCCAUUUGUGUGUGUUGAAAAUGUGCUUAAAACUACUGUAUAUAUAUAUAUCAGUUCAUCGUGAGAUCAUCUAGACAGUGCUCCCUUGGGCUGGCAGACACAUCUCCAGUGCGUUGAAAUCUAUCAACAACAGUAGCCUCAGCAACAACAAUUUAUCUGCUGCUUCCUUAAGUUAUUUUAGGUUCCCCCAUUAUGGUUUUGCACAAUCAAUCAUGCAUUUACAAUUUGAAACUGUGAGCAUGCCCAGCUGACCAUUACUACCAGCUGACCAUUACUAUAUGUACACAUACCUGAGGUCAAUUAGUGGGAAAGUGUAAAUUUCAAGAGAUAUACCCCAACCUCUACACACACACACAAACUGCACAAAGUAACGUGACACACACUUAGCAUGACACACACUUAAUGAAGUAUUGUAAACUUAUUACUAGUAAAAAAUCUCUAACUCUAAUAACGUUUUUUAUAAUCGAACAAAGUUGUAGCGCACACUAAUAUGCAAUCUCUUCACAAAUGCACUCUUCACUCACUUUUAACGUAAUGUAUGCAUCAAUUGCAUGGGAAUUGCUCACGUUCAAUUGACAGGAUGUCACGUUACUUCGUGCACAGUUUUUGUGUAGACUCUUGGCGGUAAGAUGAUUUAAUGUUCUGUCAUUAUAUUAUAUUUAUUAUUCAUAGAUUAGAGAAAACAUUUUGGAGAUGAAGGCGACUAUACAAAUCAAAGAAGAAGACCGGAAGAUACGACAUGAAAUUGUGCAUUCCUUUGAGUGUGAAGAUGUGCUGACUGAUCCAAUCUUGAUGAUGUGUUGCAAACAGAUACUUGGAUGUCAGCAGAUCUGUUUAAGAAACAACGAUGUCAUUGUUCUGGGAUUGGAUAGCCUCUUAGCCACUCUCAGGAGUGUCCGUUCCAACUGAACAAUGUACAAACUGCCUCAUUUAUUAUUCAUAUAUUAUCCACGUUGUUCGUUUUUUCUCUCAUUACGUACCUCAUUCUUAUUCACAUUCACCUUCUUAUUCACCUAUCUUUUGCGAGUAGCUUUGUUUGCUUGUUCCAUCAUCCACUGAAGUUAUGACCAUUAUCUUGUACUUGUUCUUAUCGUAGAGCUAAAAGGCAAGCUUGACAAGUCAGCAAAUAAUGUAUGCUAACCUUACUGACAUGAUACGUACUUGAUAACUAACAGGCUAGCUACAUAGAAAAGUGAUCUUCCAAUAGGGCGUAUGCAUUACUACAAUUCCUAUUAUUAGACUUCCGGUCGAAGGGACAGAGCGUUAACUAGAACACAUUUUUGUAAUAAAUCUAAUGUAAAUGGUUCGUUUUUGCUGUGUUCCUAAUAGGUCUGAUAGAGAGUCUCACCUUUCCUAUUUUGGUUUUUCUCGAAAGAAUCUGUUGAUCAACAGCAACACCAAAAUCUGCAGUGAACACUUUGUCAACGCACAUAGCAGGCGUCUCUACUCAGAUGAGGUCCCCAGUUUGCUUCUACCAGUUGUUGUAAGGGCUAGAAAGGAACCAAGAGAGCAGAAGAAGGCUUAGAUGAAUUGGAAUUGGAACAAAAAGAUGUGUCAACACAAACGGAAGAGGUUGCGUUUAAGGUUU